AGAGCGAACGCUGGCGGCAGGCCUAACACAUGCAAGUCGAACGAACUCUUCGGAGUUAGUGGCGGACGGGUGAGUAACACGUGGGAACGUGCCUUUAGGUUCGGAAUAACUCAGGGAAACUUGUGCUAAUACCGAAUGUGCCCGUUCGGGGGAAAGAUUUAUCGCCUUUAGAGCGGCCCGCGUCUGAUUAGCUUGUUGGUGGGGUAAUGGCCCACCAAGGCUACGAUCAGUAGCUGGUCUGAGAGGAUGACCAGCCACAUUGGGACUGAGACACGGCCCAAACUCCUACGGGAGCAGCAGUGGGAAUCUUGCGCAAGUGGGCGAAAGCCUGACGCAGCCAUGCCGCGUGUAUGAUGAAGGUUCUUAGGUAUUAGUAAAAUACUUUACACCGGUAGAAGUAAUAAGUAGACUGUAGACCGGAGAAAGAACGCCCCGGACUAACCUCGCGCCAGCACGCCGAAC
rnacentral:rRNA from 1 species